rnacentral:rRNA from 1 species
AAAAAAAGAUUGCAUAGAGUGGAAUCCUAGGUAUCUAGAGUCGAAGAAGGGCGUUUUAUGAUUACGAUAAGCUUAAAACAUAUUAUUUUAAGAUCCCCUAAUAGGAUAACCUAAAAAAAAUUUAGAGAUAACUUUUUUUUAUUUUCUUUUAAAUUCAUAAAAAAGAAAAUGGUAACUCAGUGAACUGAAUCAUCUUAGUAACUGAUGGAAAAGAAAGCAACAGCGAUUUCCUUAGUAGUGGUGAGCGAAAAGGAAACAGUCUAAAAAAAGAUUUCUAUUUUUUUAUUUAUGAAAUAAUUAACAUUUAUGCCAAAGAUGGUUUUAGCCCAGUAAUAAAAAAAAUAAUAAUUCUUAAAUCUUUUUUGAAAAGUAAUAUGGAAGAUAAUCCGUAUGAAAAUAUAAGAACCACCUUAUAAGACUAAAUACUCCUAGAUAACCGAUAGUGAACUAGUACCGUGAGGGAAAGGUGAAAAGUAAUCGUAGAAGAUGAUGAAAUAGUAUAAAACUCUAUGCAUACAAGCGGUAGGAGGUUUAUUAAAAACUGACUGCAUGCCUGUUGAAGAAUGCGCCAGCGAGUUAAAAAGGGUGGCAUGGUUAAAGAAAAAACUCUGGAGCCAUAGCGAAAGCAAGUUAAAUAAGCUUAAGUCAUUCUUUUUAGACCCGAAACCGAGUGAUCUACCCAUGAUCAGGGUGAAGUAUUAGUAAAACAAUAUGGAGGCCCGAACCGACUAAUGUUGAAAAAUUAGCGGAUGAAUUGUGGGUAGGGGCGAAAAACCAAUCGAACUCGGAGUUAGCUGGUUCUCCCCGAAAUGCGUUUAGGCGCAGCAGUAGCAACACAAAUAGAGGGGUAAAGCACUGUUUCUUUUGAGGGCUUCGAAAGUUGUACCUCAAAGUGGCAAACUCUGAAUACUCUAUUUAGAUAUCUACUAGUGAGACCUUGGGGGAUAAGCUCCUUGGUCAAAAGGGAAACAGCCCAGAUCACCAGUUAAGGCCCCAAAAUGAAAAUGAUAGUGACUAAGGAUGUGGGUAUGUCAAAACCUCCAGCAGGUUAGCUUAGAAGCAGCAAUCCUUUCAAGAGUGCGUAAUAGCUCACUGGUUAUAGAAAAAUUGUUGAAAUUUUUCAAUAUUUGAAUUUAUAGCGUACUCGUGCCGAAAAUUCUCGGGACUUAAUUUUCUGCCGAAACUGUGAGAAUAUAAUUAUUAGAUCUAGUUAUAUUCGGUAGGGGAGCGUUCUGUUUUUAACAGAAGUGAGAAUGUUGGCUUAAGUAACGAAAACAUUGGUGAGAAUCCAAUGCCCCGAAACCCUAAGGUUUCCUUUACUAAGGUUCGUCCAUAAAGGGUUAGUCAAGACCUAAGAUAAGGCUGAAAAGCGUAAUCGAUGGAAAAAAAGUUAAUAUUCUUUUACUUUUUUUAUUAUAAAAACAGAAAAGAUGGACGAAGUUUUAAGUUUAAAUAAAAAAAGAGGUUUUUAUUUAAAUGUUUUAAAUGACAAAAAUAUUCAUGAUUAAUAUUUGAAAAAAAACAAAUAAUUAAUUAUGAAUAUUAUUUAAUUAUAAUAUAACUUCCAAGAAAAGAUCUAAUUUCUGUGUUUCAUUUUCUACAAUGAAUAAAAAAUAAAAAAACUUGUACCGAAAACCGACACAGGUAGGGUAGUAGAAUAUACUAAGGGGCGCGAGAUAAUUCUCUUUAAGGAACUCGGCAAAAUAGCUCUGUAACUUCGGAAGAAAGAGUGCCUUUAUAAUAAAAAGUAAAGGCCACAGUAAAGAGGCUCGACCAACUGUUUAACAAAAACACAGGUUUCCGCAAAGUCCAAAAGACGAUGUAUGGGAGCUGACGCCUGCCCAGUGCCAGCUGGUUAAUUAAAUGGGUUAAUAUUAAUAAAUAUGAAGCUCAUCGACAAAGCCUUGGUGAACGGCGGCUGUAACUAUAACGGUCCUAAGGUAGCGAAAUUCCUUGUCAGGUAAGUUCUGACCCGCACGAAUGGCGUAAUGAGUCGAGCACUGUCUCAAAGAGAAACUCGGUGAAAUAGACAUAUCCGUGAAGAUGCGGAUUACUUGCACCAGGACACUAAGACCCUAGAAGCUUUACUAUAGCUUGAAAUUGUACAAUAUAUAGAGAAUACAGUUUAUGUGGUAGACAAAAAUCUUUAAAAGUAGUCAUAAGUGAGAGACCACUUUCUUCUAUAGGGAGUACUCAAAAUACACCUUUUAACAGGGUAUUUAACAGUUUUUGGCAGGUAGUUCACCUGGGAUAGGUGCCUCCCAAAAAGUAAUGGAGGUAUACAAAGAUUUUCUUAAAUUGUUUGGAAAUCAAUUAUUAAGUAUAAAGGCAUAAGAGAAUUUGAUUAUGAGACCUAAAAGUCGAAUAAGGGCGAAAGCCUGUCUUAAUGACCCGAUAAUUUCGUGUGGAAGAGUUAUCGCUCAAUUGAUAAAAGUUACUCUAGGGAUAACAGGCUGAUCUUCCCCAAGAGUCCACAUCGACGGGAAGGUUUGGCACCUCGAUGUCGGCUCAUCGCAUCCUAGGGCGGUAGGAGGUCCUAAGGGUUGGGCUGUUCGCCCAUUAAAGCGGUACGUGAGCUGGGUUUAGAACGUCGUAAGACAGUUUGGUUCAUAUCCGGUGUAAGCGUUAGAGCAUUGAGAGAAACUUUUAAUAGUACGAGAGGACUUUAAAGGAUAUACCUCUGGUGUACCAGUUCUUAUACCAAUAGGAAACGCUGGGUAGCUAAGUAUAGAACCAAUAAUCGCUGACUGCAUCUAAGUGAGAAGUGGACCUCGAGAUAAAUGCUCUCUAAAAGAUUACGGAAAGACUAUCCGAUAAAUAGGUGUAAAGUAUAAGAUUUGUAAAAAUUUUAGCUGAUACAUACUAAAAAAUCAAUUGUAAAU